AUCGAACGCUGGCGGCAGGCUUAACACAUGCAAGUCGAACGAUGAAGGAGAGCUUGCUCUCCGGAUUAGUGACGAACGGGUGAGUAACACGUGACUAACCUGCCCCUUUCUCUGGGAUAACGCUCCGAAAGGAGUGCUAAUACCGGAUACGAACUCUGAACACAUGUUCGGAGUUGGAAAGUUUUUCGGAAAGGGAUGGAGUCGCGGCCUAUCAGCUUGUUGGUGAGGUAAUGGCUCACCAAGGCGACGACGGGUAGCCGGCCUGAGAGGGCGACCGGCCACACUGGGACUGAGACACGGCCCAGACUCCUACGGGAGGCAGCAGUGGGGAAUAUUGCACAAUGGGCGAAAGCCUGAUGCAGCGACGCCGCGUGAGGGAUGAAGGUCUUCGGAUUGUAAACCUCUUUCAGUAGGGACGAAGCGAAAGUGACGGUACCUAAAGAAGAAGCACCGGCUAACUACGUGCCAGCCGCCGCCGUAAUAC
rnacentral:rRNA from 1 species